rnacentral:rRNA from 1 species
CCUACGGGUGGCUGCAGUAGGGAAUUUUCGGCAAUGGGGGGAACCCUGACCGAGCAACGCCGCGUGAACGAAGAAGUUAUUCGUAAUGUAAAGUUCUUUUAACAGGGAAGAAAGAGAAAUUUGACGGUACCUGAAGCAUAAGCUCCGGCUAACUACGUGCCAGCAGCCGCGGUAAUACGUAGGGAGCGAGCGUUAUUCGGAAUUAUUGGGCGAAAAGGGGGCGUAGAUGGCAUAGUAAGUCUGUUGUAAAAAUGCUGGGCCCAACCCAGUAGGGCAAUAGAUACUGCGAAGCUAGAGUAUGACAGAGGCAAGUGGAACGACAGGUGUAGCGGUAAAAUGCGUAAAUAUAUGUAAGAACACCAGUGGCGAAGGCGGCUUGCUGGGUCGAUACUGACAUUGAGGCACGAAAGCGUGGGGAGCAAACAGGAUUAGAUACCCGGGUAGUC